rnacentral:rRNA from 1 species
GUAAAGAGCUCGUAGGCGGUUUGUCGCGUCUGCCGUGAAAGUCCGGGGCUUAACUCCGGAUCUGCGGUGGGUACGGGCAGACUAGAGUGAUGUAGGGGAGACUGGAAUUCCUGGUGUAGCGGUGAAAUGCGCAGAUAUCAGGAGGAACACCGAUGGCGAAGGCAGGUCUCUGGGCAUUAACUGACGCUGAGGAGCGAAAGCAUGGGGAGCGAACAGGAUUAGAUACCCUGGUAGUCCAUGCCGUAAACGUUGGGCACUAGGUGUGGGGGACAUUCCACGUUUUCCGCGCCGUAGCUAACGCAUUAAGUGCCCCGCCUGGGGAGUACGGCCGCAAGGCUAAAACUCAAAGGAAUUGACGGGGGCCCGCACAAGCGGCGGAGCAUGCGG